GACGAACCGUGCGAACGUUAUUCGGAAUCACUGGGCUUAAAGGGCGCGUAGGCGGGCGGCCGCGUCCGGGGUGAAAUCCCACGGCUCAACCGUGGAACGGCCUCGGAUACGGGCGGCCUCGAGGGGGGUAGGGGCAUCUGGAACUGUGAGUGGAGCGGUGAAAUGCGUUGAUAUUCACAGGAACUCCGGUGGCGAAGGCGAGGUGCUGGACCCCAUCUCGACGCUGAGGCGCGAAAGCCAGGGGAG
rnacentral:rRNA from 1 species